AGUUCACAGUAGCAUUGUUUUGCAUAGGCGUCCUGUAAUGUAGAGGUUUUUUCCCCCCCCGAAAUCGACACUGAUAGUACAGUGAGAUUUUUAUAUAUAUAAUGUGAAUGUGUAGGUGUAUGGUGACUCCCCAUUUGGAUGAACGGACCAACAGGACUGCCAUGGGAAAGUCCCUUGACGGGUACCAGGAAUGGUGGAAGGUGAGACUGAACAUGGACAGGGCGCAUGAGGAGGAUCUACCUGAGAAGAAUCAAGGGGACCAAGUGCUUUGGGUGAAUCUGGGUGAAUGACUUGGCUUGGAAGAAAGGAAGACUAGACCCGGGAAAGUUUGGUGCUCUUUCGCUCCUCGCUGGGGUCAACAUCCGUUAAGGACAUAGGGAUUCUGCCAAACACCCAGACAUGGAUCCUCCUGAUGUCCCCCAUUACCAACCACCCUCCAACUUUUCAUUACAUCAGCAACUGUUAUUGUCAAGUUGUCAUUAUUUGCUUAGAAAGAGCAAGACAACUAUCAUACUGGGCACAUAAUGUGAGCUGCACAGAUUAGCUAAAAUCACUAGCACUGCAAACACUCUUAGACACUCUUAGAGUCCACUGCCUGUUGAAAAACAAGUGACAGGCAGAACCUCCCAUCCACACAAGACCCACCUCCUCUCUAUUCCACACCAUAAUUCUGUAUUUCAGUCUGAUUGCCAAGUGAGUGUACAAAAAAAUCUGAAAGUAAAUUGACACAUCUACCAAACAAAUAUCAAUGGUUAUGUAUUUAAAUGUAAAAUAUUGCUAGAUUGAUUUUCACACCUGUUUCAUGAGGUUUUUGUUAUUGUGUAUCGUAUCCCUUGAUGGUAUUUGUUAAUUCAACAUUGCUAAGACAUACAAUAGAUAUCUAAUGUUUACUGGCCCAACACUAACCACUAUGCUACCAAGAAGCCCUUGUGUUUGUAUUGAUGAAAGAAAUAGGCAUAUCUACACAGUAAUGGUAGCUGCGAUAUCAACUAGCCUAAUAAUUUUUGCAUUGAGAUGAUAGGCCUAUUUUAGCUAAAUCGACAAAUUAAAUUGAUGAACUAAACAGACACUUAAACUAACGGGUAACACAUGUAGACAUUAAGGCAUUCAUGGUAAGAUCAUUCAUAAUAAACUUACCCGCAUACUGACACGUUACGCAACGUGCACAUCUACAUGACGUGUCACGUGACGUGAACGUUUGACGCCUUAGAAACUAACUUGUCUCCAUUGACAGUCCAUGUUAAUUCAUGGCGUUAUUUUAUGGCGCUAGGAAGAGGUUAAGUGACUUGGUGAAAGGUAUCAGUAGCUUCAUGAGGUUAAUUCUGGCAUGAAUCUCCCCCCAUACGCUCUCACCUGCAGGCGACAUGCAGAUGUUUCAUUUCUCUCUCACGCUGUCAUGGCUGAAGCCAGCACAAAUUCAUACAAUUUAUGUUUCCAGGUUAAAUGUGGGACGUCCCUCAUUAUAAACAAACAUCGGUUAAAUUCAUGUUUUUUGCAUCAUUUUCAGAUCUAUUAGAAGAUAUUAAUAGACGAAACAACACUGUAAUUUAACCAAUUGAUUGGCCAGGGCAUUCAUCAGCAAAGACGCAGAGAAAGCUGAAAGUAUUUUGGACAACCAAAUUGAAGACAAAAUGAUUGAUGAAAUCGAAGUGUGUCAGCUGGGUGAUUUGCGAUUCAUAACUUACAUUUUAUCAGUACGACCAGUAUCAAUAGGCCAACCGAUAACACCACGACGGAAUGCGUUUGAAGUGAUGAUGCGCCACCGAGAACAGCUAGCAUGUCCAGCAAAGGACAUCGCCAGUGGCACGCACACACUUCGUGCAGAUCAUCAGGUGGAGGAGGCCUAAUCAUAUUAGUAUGAAUAUUUUGUUUAUGCCUAAGCUCUAGAGAUGCAGUCAGGUAAUGAACUCAUUAUGGUGUAUCAACAUUUUUAAUUUGAUUACAAAAAUGUGUUAGGCUAUACAAUUUAAGCAGAUUAAUGAACUGAUAAUACAUUCAUAACUUCCCAAUAAUUUUUGAAUAUGAUAGAAUAUUGCAUUCUGUUAGACAUCCUAUGUGAAUAAUGUUCAUUAAUGUUAAUUUGUGUAUUAAUACUAAUAAUCUGAAAAUAAGUCUGAAAUUGAAUAUUUUGCCUAUUGUUCAUGUCCAUAUAGUCUAGAACAAUGUGGUAAAGUACUGUUAUUACUUAUCCACUUAAUUAUUAUUGUUUUUUCACUCGCUCGCCUCACUUUUCUGGGGGGAAAAUCCGUUAAACAUUGAAUCAGUUUUGUCUGGCCUUACUUACUUUAUUGUGUAUAUCAUAUUUCAAAUUCUUAUUUCUCUGGUACUUUUUUAUUGAUUCUUGCAUUGUUGGGUUUUGAGUUUGCAAGAAAGGCAUUUCACUGUACUUGUACACGUGACAUUAAAACUUGAAACUGAAACUGCAGCUAGUGUACAGUCUUUCCAGCUUCAGUUUGAAGUGAUUGUGUUAGCUGUGUGUUGUUGCUCAUUGUUAUGGAUGUAUCCAAAUGAACAGUUUAUGCAAAUGCCACUACUGUUGUUAUAUUGGUUGCACUGUUUGAUGUGACUGUAAGUUAGCCGUAGUUGGCUAGCUAUCAAGCAAGGGAGGAGAAUGUUUUCAGCCAGUAUGGCAAUAGAACAUUUACUAAGUGCCAAGCUAUCUCACUGACAUUGACCCUUUCAUGCACUCCUGCAUAAACAGGAAACACCUGCGCCUAAAGCAGACACUGCUAGUUUCCCCUAUCUUUCGUUCCUGGACACACAAACAUCUCAUGAAGGACUGUACACUCACACUCUACCCCCCCUACUGGUCGGGUGCCAAGAGCAAAGGACUUUGCUGUGCACCAAUGGGGCCCGCUCUGGCUAGAGCAAGGCCCGCCUCCAACUCUUCAGGACCAGUCAGAAGACCAACACGACGAGACUCCACCUACAUUAUUCUGUGUAUACAUUCUGCUGUAAACUCUGGCUGAGCAGCCUAAUUAUUCUGACUCUUCACAGAGUCACAUUGCUUAGGUCCGUGCACGAUAAACGGCAGGACAAGAUAACUUUGACCAAUAAACUGCCUUUUUGAUACACCUGA